UCUCCAUGGCAACCACGGUUCGGGAGGGAGCGCCCCCUUGCCUACCUCCUGAACCGCAGAGAGGAACGUUCAGCACGCUAGAUGCUUUCUGGGAGUCGUAGUCGGCAAGGCGCCCCGCGUGUGCAAGCGCAGCACCCCCCUUUAGAGUCUCCGCGCGGGUCAGAGGAUUGGGACCUGAGGCACGUUAGAAAAUGUAGCGAGAAAAGAGUAACAGAAAGGCGAGACAUCGAGAUUCUAGCGACCGACCCCAGUACAAAGCGGACAUCCCUGUGCUAUGUUCUUGCCAUCUCCAACAUCUUGGAGUCUUUACCCUCGGGGCAUCACACAUUGCCCUCUUGUGGUACAGGGAGGAAAAGUCUCCCAAAGGCUAAGAUGAAGAAAACUACAAAACAGCAUUGUGGCCCGCCAUUACUGCCUACUUUAAAGCAUCCAAUCAAAAUGCAGGCAGGCAUAUAUGGGAAACAAAAAUGUAUAAAGGCUUCAAUCCUAUAACAUUGGGAGCUCUGGCCUUUGAAUGCAGAGCCUGAUGACCAGUACAACAGACCGCUUCCUGAUAAAAGAA